rnacentral:lncRNA from 1 species
AUUCUCUUCUUUGAUUCACGUAAUAUGGAUUUCUGUUACGUAUCUUGACUCUUGCCCCAGUGUGAGCACCCUUUUCAACAUGUGUCUUCCAUUUGCUACUACAAUCAUUUUAAUCUAAAAUAAAUCAUUCAACCAUCUUGAUACGUUGGAAGCAGUGGACAGAAUUUGGUCCUAAUUUAACAAACCUUAUUCUAUUCACCUGCAAAUCUCCUACAGCUCACUCACUUUUUUCUUUUUUAAAUCUAUUAUUUUUCUUUUGCCCCAACACUAGGAUUACAAGAAUUAAAGGGGUCACAAGGUCCCCCAGGAAAGAUGGGCCCUGUUGGACUAGUAGGAGGGAAAGGCUCACCAGGAGAAAAAGGCACAAAAGGAGAUAUUGGAGAUAGAGGAUUGCAAGGAUCCCAGGUUUGAUGGGUAACUCAGGCAAUGCGGGCCCUUCUGGACCAAGAGGGGAUAAUGGUUCACCAGGCGAAAAAGGAGUAAAAGCGGAGAGAGGCCUGCCAGGAACUACAGGUUCGCAGGGCAAGCCAGGAAUCGCAGGCUCCCCUGGGCCAAAAGGGGACAAGGGUUCAGUAGGUGAAAAGAGAGCAAAAGGAGACAGAGGGUUACAAGGAAGCUCAGGUUUACAGGGCCCCAAAGGGCAAAUUGGCUCUCCUGGACUAAAAGGUGAUAAAGGUUCAGUAGGUGAAAAAGGAACAAACGGAGAUAGUGGACUAUCAGGUAAGUAAAGCAAUGGGGUUUGUUUGUUUGCUGGGGAAGGGAUUUAAGGGUUUUCUCUGUUGGUGUGUGCUAAUGAAUUUUGGACCACUUUCUGCCCCACAUCGACAAGUGGGCUCAAGUAAGUUCCACCUGGGGAAAAAAAAUGUGUGAGGAGAGAUUCUCUCUCUCCCAAUGUAUAUUCAAUUUACAUGUGCAUAAUUUACAUUAUGUAAAACUGGUUCACCUGCAAAAUGUAAGAUAUUAUCUAAACAUAAAGAUCAAA